rnacentral:rRNA from 1 species
UGGGGAAUCUUGGACAAUGGGGGCAACCCUGAUCCAGCCAUGCCGCGUGAGCGAUGAAGGCCUUAGGGUUGUAAAGCUCUUUCAGCGGGGAAGAUAAUGACGGUACCCGCAGAAGAAGCCCCGGCUAACUCCGUGCCAGCAGCCGCGGUAAUACGGAGGGGGCUAGCGUUGUUCGGAAUUACUGGGCGUAAAGCGCACGUAGGCGGAUGCUUAAGUCGGGGGUGAAAUCCCGGGGCUCAACCCCGGAACUGCCUUCGAUACUGGGUGUCUGGAGGAUGAGAGAGGCGAGUGGAAUUCCGAGUGUAGAGGUGAAAUUCGUAGAUAUUCGGAGGAACACCAGUGGCGAAGGCGGCUCGCUGGCUCAUUUCUGACGCUGAGGUGCGAAAGCGUGGGGAGCAAACAGG